rnacentral:rRNA from 1 species
UACAGAGGGUGCAAGCGUUAAUCGGAUUUACUGGGCGUAAAGCGCGCGUAGGUGGUUUGAUCAGUCGGAUGUGAAAGCCCCGGGCUUAACCUGGGAAUUGCAUUUGAUACUGUCUGACUAGAGUUUGGUAGAGGAAGGUAGAAUUCCAGGUGUAGCGGUGAAAUGCGUAGAUAGCUGGAGGAAGACCAGUGGCGAAGGCGGCCUUCUGGACUAAAACUGACACUGAGGUGCGAAAGCGUGGGUAGCAAACAGG